CACUCGAGCAUCAACAGCAGGCGCUUGUUGCUUCAAUUUCGAAUCAUGGGGAGUCCAUACGUUUUCUUUGUACUUGACAGAACUAUUGUUAUGGUGAUUCUUGUUAGUAGCGGUUGAUUUUAUCAUGGUAUGUAACCACUCGUCGCCAUCGUUGGCUCUCCUGAACCUGGAGUCGCUUGAUCCCGGCCAGAGACGCCUCCCCGAACGUAAAACCCGGGCCCCAUCGACGCCCUUCACCACCCCAAACACCCUAGUGGUACGACGCAUCCCCACCGACGGCAUUAUUACCGCUUGGUUCCUCCUCGGUCCUACACGAGGCUCGAUCUUCCCACCUCCCACUCACCAAGUCACCCAGUUACCUUCCGAUUCGACUCACCAAUUUCCUAGUCAGAAACACGAGUCUCCUAACAGACAAAGAUAAAAAAAAAAAAAAAAAACCAAGUUGCCC
rnacentral:misc_RNA from 1 species